UACGUAGGUGGCUAGCGUUGUCCGGAUUUAUUGGGCGUAAAGGGCGCGUAGGCGGCCUGCUAAGUCGGACGUGAAAUCCCUCGGCUCAACCGAGGAACUGCGUCCGAUACUGGUGGGCUUGAAUCCGGGAGAGGGAUGUGGAAUUCCAGGUGUAGCGGUGAAAUGCGUAGAUAUCAGGAGGAACACCGGUGGCGAAGGCGGUUCUCUGGGCAUGAUCUGACGCUGAGGAGCGAAAGUGUGGGGAGCGAACAGG
rnacentral:rRNA from 1 species